rnacentral:rRNA from 1 species
GCAACCCUGACGGAGCAAGACCGCGUGGGGGAGGAAUGCCUUAGGGUUGUAAACCCCUUUUAUCUGGGAAGAAAAUACUGGCGGUACCAGAUGAAUCAGCCUCGGCUAACUCCGUGCCAGCAGCCGCGGUAAUACGGAGGAGGCAAGCGUUAUCCGGAUUUAUUGGGCGUAAAGGGUCUGCAGGUGGCGGUUCAAGUCUGCUGUCAAAGACAGUAGCUCAACUACUGACAGGCACUGGAAACUGAAUCGCUAGAGAACGGUAGGGGCAGAAGGAAUUCCCGGUGUAGCGGUGAAAUGCGUAGAUUUCGGGAAGAACAUCGGCGGCGAAAGCGUUCUGCUGGACCGUAUCUGACACUCAGGGACGAAAGCUAGGGGAGCG